rnacentral:rRNA from 1 species
GAUGAACGCUGGCGGCGUGCCUAAUACAUGCAAGUCGAGCGAACGGACGAGAAGCUUGCUUCUCUGAUGUUAGCGGCGGACGGGUGAGUAACACGUGGAUAACCUACCUAUAAGACUGGGAUAACUUCGGGAAACCGUAGCUAAUACCGGAUAAUAUUUUGAACCGCAUGGUUCAAAAGUGAAAGACGGUCUUGCUGUUUCUUAUAGAUGGAUCCGCGCUGCAUUAGCUAGUUGGUAAGGUAACGGCUUACCAAGGCAACGAUGCAUAGCCGACCUGAGAGGGUGAUCGGCCACACUGGAACUGAGACACGGUCCAGACUCCUACGGGAGGCAGCAGUAGGGAAUCUUCCGCAAUGGGCGAAAGCCUGACGGAGCAACGACGCGUGAGUGAUGAAGGUCUUCGGAUCGUAAAACUCUGUUAUUAGGGAAGAACAUAUGUGUAAGUAACUGUGCACAUCUUGACGGUACCUAAUCAGAAAGCCACGGCUAACUACGUG